ACCUCCCUCUGGCGGCAUGCCUAACACAUGCAAGUCGAACGAGACCUUCGGGUCUAGUGGCGCACGGGUGCGUAACGCGUGGGAACCUGCCCUUAGGUUCGGAAUAACUCCCCGAAAGGGGUGCUAAUACCGGAUAAUGUCUUCGGACCAAAGAUUUAUCGCCUUUGGAUGGGCCCGCGUUGGAUUAGCUAGUUGGUAGGGUAAAAGCCUACCAAGGCGACGAUCCAUAGCUGGUCUGAGAGGAUGAUCAGCCACACUGGGACUGAGACACGGCCCAGACUCCUACGGGAGGCAGCAGUGGGGAAUAUUGGACAAUGGGCGAAAGCCUGAUCCAGCAAUGCCGCGUGAGUGAUGAAGGCCUUAGGGUUGUAAAGCUCUUUUACCCGGGAUGAUAAUGACAGUACCGGGAGAAUAAGCUCCGGCUAACUCCGUG
rnacentral:rRNA from 1 species